GUCUUCACCUCUAAAGCUCAAGAACACAUGGGAAUUGCAUCGAGGUGUGAAAGAGAGGGCCUCUUGAUAUCUCGCAAUAGCCAUUGAACAAACCCUUAUGAUAUAACUGAAGGGAUACUACAAUUUGUCAAAUAUUUGAGGAUGUAUCAGAUAGUCACUAUGAACUACAAACUAUGAAAUCAUCAACCCAGAUCAAAAUUAGUUACCAACACUCAAAGCCGCACACACACAUCAGCUUAUUGAAGAACCAAUACACACUAUAUUAUACUUAUAUAAGGAUUAAAAAAUAGUGUUCCCAACAUUCGAUUAUAUUUGUCUUUUUUAAGAGUUUCCAACUUUCUAAAGGUAAAGUAGUUAUUGCAUUGGAACUCAAAUUCAAAUACUUGUAUAUGAUUACCAACGCUGCCCCUUUAUUUCAAAUAUAUUACAAAUCUCAUGCUUUGAUGUUUUAAAGUGGGCAACCAUUUUGGAAUAUCUUUAAAUAAAAAGAUAAACAAAAAAAACAAGGACAAUAGGGAGUAAUUAAGAAUCUGUAGCAAAACCAUCUAAUUCUAAUCCAUGCAAAUGCAACAAUACUACAUACCCAUAAAAAUUAGCCAUAAGAAAUGUAAAUGCACAUUUUUCAUGGAUGUAACGUUAAACGCAUCCAUGAAUAGAUAGUGAAGCAACUUCUAUUUUUUUUAUUGUUAAUUUCUAAUUUUCUGAUGGGAAACAAUUCAUCUGCAUAUUUAGCUUUCCUAUUUUCAAGCACAAAAUUAGUAUAGUCAAUAGAUUUAAUUGUCCUUAUAUAAUGGAAUACCGUAUCACCUAUAUAUAUAAUAAGUGUAAUACCCUAUUUUUAUAAAUAGAUAAAUAUUUAUUUUAAAGUUCGAUUAAAAUUUUCUACAACUCGGGUAUAUAUAUUUUUUAUACUGGGUAGGUAGUAUAGGGUCAUUUUGUAUAAAUUCGGUACCUAGGGGUUACUGUUUUUCAAUUUAAAUUAAAUCUUGUAUUUUUAGACUGUGGGUAAUUACGCGUGUGAGAGAUAGUCAAAUGGGGGUGUGGGUUGGUUAUCUUCGAUUAGCAUAUCCAGAGUAACAAAUUUGGGGUUAUUGAUCAGAGAAAGAGAGAGAGGAGAAGAAGAAGAAGAAGGAGAAGAAGAAGAGGGAAACCAUGGAGAUAAAUUGACGGAAUUGUUGUGCCCAAAACUUAACAGAAACCACACACACAGAGACAGAUAUUUACGAAGUUUGUUAAAUUGCCUGCGUCCUCGGGUGGUAGCAAUUCUAAUAUAUAGAGAAAGAUUUCCAAAUUAAAGUUUCUCACUCUCUCUCUCUCUCAAGUCUAAUAUAUAGAGAAAGAUUUCUAGAUUACAAGUUUCUCAUUCUCUCUCUCUCAUGUUUUCUGAUUUACUCUCACCUACCCGCACCAUUCUAAAGUCUAUACAUGAGGUCAAACUCUUGGAAUCCAAACAUGAAGUUAAAGCCAAUUUUCAACGAUCACCUUGGCGAAAAUUUCUCCCAACCAUAGUAAUACUGUCACCAAUGCCCUUUUAAGCAUUUUAGAUUUAGCAUUGGUCAUCGUAGUCCUGUGCUCAAAGAUGGUAAAAGUACCAGUAGUCUUCGAAGAUUCUACCAUCUUAACAAUUUCGGCUCCACCAAAACUAAUAUGGAGUCAAAAUCCACAAAUUCGAAUCUCGCAGAUAGAUCCAAAGUACAGGAAAACCUUGGAGAGGGUCUAAACUAAAAAAUUCAAAAAGUUUAGGGAACAAACUAUAAUUAUCAAAAUUUCAAAGAUCCAACUGUAAUUUUAACAAACUUUUGGGACCAAAACUUAAUUUUUCCAAAAAUUAGGGACUUAAAAAAUAAAAAUUUCAAACUUCAAGGACCACUAUGUAAUUUCCCAAAUUGAGAGAAUAUUCUUGGAAUAUUCUAUUUGUUGACUAGGCACUAAUUGGAUCGUUUAUGUGGCACUAAUGUGGUGAUAAUUGGAUGCUGACUAAGCGCUGGUUGAUGUUGAUGGGCCCUUGACUUAAUACUGACAGAGUGCUGACGAGGCAUUAACGAAGCAUGUGCAGCUCGUGGACUACUUAGAGUGUAGCACGUGGGCGUGAGUAGAUUUCAUGCGCCGAUUGCUAGGUGGCGUGCGGGUGUGUGUGUGUGUGCGAGGUUUGGGUCGCAGUUUGAACUAGGAGAUUCGUCUCAUCGAGACGAACAUGAUGGUGUUCUCAAAAAAUAUUUUAAAACACUUGUAAUAAACUGAGACUCUAUCUGACUCUGAUAUUAUGCUCAUAAUUAACAAAAACCACACACAGAAACAUUUACACACACAAAGACAGACAAGGUUCGACAAAUUGCCUACUUCUUCGGGUGGUAGCGAUGUCAGUAUAUAGAGAAAAAUUUACAAAUUACAAGUUUUUGACUCUCUCUCAAGCUUUCUGAUUUACUCUCACUUACCCACACCAUUAUAUAGCCUAUAUGUAAGGUAUAUAUAGGAUGAGAUAUACAUAUUUCAGAAAGCCAUAGCGACUUUCUUGGAGCUCAAAAGCUCCAUCGGAAGGGAGCUACAUUGGAAAUGAUUGUUCUUGAAAAUGGAUGAAUCAAACUCUUGAAACCAAAACAUGAAGUUAAAGCCAAUUUCCAACGGUAAUUAAAUGCUAAAUGCAAUAUGUAAUAUUAUUAACUAGAAAAUGAGCAAGUUUGCAAAAAUUUAUUUGUGGGUAGUAGAUCAACUUGCACCAAAUAAGUUUAAAAAUGACAAAAUUUCAGGUCUAGUAUUUUAAUGUAACAAUAAACCAAUCAUAAUCUCUUUCUGAGAUUUGAAAUAUGAUUGGGAUCCGCUAGCUUUAGUUGACAAGUUGAUGGAGAACUUGUAGUCGCCCGUUACAUGGACGGCUUCUAUGGUUGCUGAUUCGAUUUGGGCCUGAAUGGACAUUGGUGGAAUGGGUUAAAAAGAUCCAUAUUUGAUGUAAAAUGAUAGAUGAUCAAUACUCAUCGCUUUACUAUAACUAGCGAUGAAUUUCGGCAAUAUUUUGUCGUUUAGACGGAAAAAAUUGUCAUUUUUUGAAAUAUUUGACAGGUGAAUAACUCAUGAUUUAAUUCCGAUUUAUGCGGGAUUUGUGGGAGAGUUUUUUUUAUCCUUAUAGUUUCUAGAUUUGAGUUUAACUCAAAUCUUUCAGUAUUUUUUCUUUUUUGGUAAAUUUUAAUUUUCCUAAAUAAUUGCUUGAUUAACAAGCAAUUACCUAUCUUUAUUUCUUUACUAAGCUCAGUUAGGGUUUAUUAGCACUGUAAAUACAAUGUAAUGCCUCUUGGCUAAUUAAUUGAGUUUGACUAAUAAUAGUGAGUUGAGAGAGCAUAUUUUCUUUUUCAUAUUUUUUUGAUAUUCAUAGGAUUCGACAGAAUUAUAAAAUGGAUUGUUAUUUUUUCUUGCUUUCAAAUCUAUUCUUCACAACGUUUCACGCUGCAUCACAAGUCAAAAUAGUUAAAAUGUACAUUCUUAUACUCUAGUCUCUAGAGAAGCAACAUCUAUUUCCUAGCUAAUGCAUCUAGUUGCAUCACUACCACUCAUUGUUUUUUUGUCUUUUAAGUUAUAUUAAUUGUGCAUGUUUUGGGGAUCAUAUAAGUUGAAAAACCCAAAUAAGUACACCAUGUAAGCCUUAACCAAUAAUAUCUCCACUUUGCACUCUCAAUUAUAUAAACCUUGCAAUCAACCUUGACAUCCAACAUUUAUCUAUAAAAUAGACAAAAAAUUCCAGUUAAGUUAUCACGUGUUGACCCGACUCAGAUCCAGGGGCAAUCCAUGUUAACACCAUAAAAAAAAUCCAAGUUUGAAUUGUGUUCUACCUUGUUCUCUCUCCGUUUAUUGUUUGACAAAAAAUAUUGAAUUUGCAUAUUUUUUAUGAUAUUAACAUGGGUGGUCCAAUCAACAUGUGGUGUGGCAAUUUUAGUCCACUUUGUAGAUGGACGUUGGAUGUUGGGAUUGAUUACAACGGUUUAUAUAGUUGCGUGUACAAAUUAAAAAACAUAUUAAUUAGGAAAAAAAUGAGAAUUGUUCAAUACUUUGAGGGGACAAAUUGCAGUUUUCCCAGCUCUAGAAAUACCAUUGGAGGAGUACCACGGAAAUCACACAUCAAACUUUUACAGCUCUAGAAAUACCAUUGGAGAAGAAGGAUCCCGGAAAUCACACAUCAAACUUUUUAUUGUCUAAAAAAAUUUGCUUUUUCAAUCUUUUUAAGAAGAUUUGGGCUCGAUGUCCAUGGUGCCCAAUUCUUAAUUGAGUAUUCCUAUUCAAAAUAAAAAUUUAAGCUCAAAUCGAUUAUAUGCUAAACUUUAAUUGCUUACCAUGUAAGCCCCGUCAACUACCAACCAAUCAGCAUGAAUAAACAUUGAACCGCGUAUCAAAAAUCUUGAUGCCAAAAUUUUAUUUUGCCAAUUCAGACAAUACUCUUAUUACUCUUAUAUGCAUCUUUCCCUAUUCUGUCACCAUACCCUCCAACCACCUCACCACCACUACUAGGCCAUCACCUUCAGCGGUUGAUUGUUAUUUUCCGGUCAACCAUUGACAAUUUUUUGGACGGGCCACCGACUUAUUUUCUGGUUAUCGCUAACUUUUUUUAUGGCAGCACGAUUUGUUCAAAUACUUUCCAAAAACUUUCUAGCAACGGUUUUUCACGUGACUACCCUUAGCAACUUUUUCUAGAUAAGUGGCUUGCUGUUAGACCGGUAGCUUUCCAACAUGUACCGGCAGACAGACAACACUAGAUCGAGAUAGUUAAAUUCUAUAAGCAGAGAAUUUCAUUGUUCAUUCAUCAAUCACAUAUACCAUUAAAAAAAUUUUAAUUUAACAAGAAAACAAAAUUUGUGUACAUGAAAGGGGUAGGUGUAGAACCUGGUACUUAAGCUAGGGAUAUAACCCUGGACUCCUCCCAACUUCAAUUAACUCCUAAAGUUGUUGCAAGUACGCUACAGUGUUCCAUGUAAGAAGCAAGUAAUUGUUAGUAACGCAAAUAUAUAAAGGAGGAGCUAGUUGCACCACUCAAGAAUGGAGUCAAGAGGUGGCGGCUGGAGGCGACCGUCUGAAAUAUUCAAAUUGUAUAUAUUUGACACCUUGAUAUUGAAAUUAAGAUUGCAUUUUCUACAUAUACAUGUUACAAAUUUUAUAUUUUGUAUGUAUAUUUAUCUUUCCAAAUGUCAAAAUCAUGCUUCGGUCCCUAGCACCACUUGUUGAAGUAUGACAAAUCCUUGUCCCCUUGACACUUCAUAGUUUAAAUUUCAAAUGCUUUGAACAUGGCAUUGGAAAACACGUAGUAAUUGACACGGCAUUGGAAAAA
rnacentral:lncRNA from 1 species